GCCCCAGUGGUGUAGUGGUAGCACGCGUCCUCGAUGAGGAUGGAACAUGUGUUCGAUUCCCGCCUGAGGCC